rnacentral:rRNA from 1 species
AGAGAGAGACAUGCGCGCAUAUCAAUAAGCGGAGGAAAAGAAACUAACAAGGAUUCCCCUAGUAACGGCGAGUGAAGCGGGAAGAGCUCAAAUUUGAAAUCUUAAAGGGUUUCCCUUUACGAAUUGUAGUUUAAAGAAGUGUUUUCUGUUGAGGUUUUGGUAAAAGUUCUUUGGAAUAGGACAUCAUAGAGGGUGAGAAUCCCGUAUUUGACCUUUACUUUCAACUUUGUGAUACACUUUCCAAAGAGUCGGAUUGUUUGGGAAUGCAGUCCAAAAUGGGUGGUAAAUUUCAUCUAAAGCUAAAUAUUGGCGAGAGACCGAUAGCGAACAAGUACCGUGAGGGAAAGAUGAAAAGAACUUUGAAAAGAGAGUUAAACAGUACGUGAAAUUGUCAAAAGGGAAGCGUUUGACACCAGUGUUGUUUUUCUGAAAAUCAAUUAAAGAACUGUUUAUGCUAAGUUGUUUAGACUUUAUCAGCUAACUGUUUAGUUUUGAGCUUUUCUUUAAUGCACUUUUCAGUUAACAAGUCAACAUCAAUUUCUUUUGCUGUAAAAAAGCUUGAGGAAGGUGGCUUGAGAUUCGUCUUAAGUGUUUAUAGCCUCUUGCCUAUGCAGUCGGAGAGAUUGAGGUCUGCAGCGUAGAUCCUUCGGGGCUAAAUGCAUUUGUGCUAAGUUAUAGCAUUUUAUAGACAACUUGUUGACUAUGAUUUGUCUUGUAGCUUACUCGCUUAUGUUAUUUUACCUACGCUUAGGAUGUUGACGCAUGAGAUAUACGC